rnacentral:rRNA from 1 species
UACGAAGGGGGCUAGCGUUGCUCGGAAUUACUGGGCGUAAAGCGCACGUAGGCGGCUUGUUAAGUCAGGGGUGAAAUCCUGGAGCUCAACUCCAGAACUGCCUUUGAUACUGGCGAGCUUGAGUUCGGGAGAGGUGAGUGGAACUGCGAGUGUAGAGGUGAAAUUCGUAGAUAUUCGCAAGAACACCAGUGGCGAAGGCGGCUCGCUGGCCCGAUACUGACGCUGAGGUGCGAAAGCGUGGGGAGCAACA